UACGUAGGGUGCGAGCGUUAAUCGGAAUUACUGGGCGUAAAGCGUGCGCAGGCGGUGAUGUAAGACAGUUGUGAAAUCCCCGGGCUCAACCUGGGAACUGCAUCUGUGACUGCAUUGCUGGAGUGCGACAGAGGGGGAUGGAAUUCCGCGUGUAGCAGUGAAAUGCGUAGAUAUGCGGAGGAACACCGAUGGCGAAGGCAAUCCCCUGGGCCUGCACUGACGCUCAUGCACGAAAGCGUGGGGAGCAAACAGG
rnacentral:rRNA from 1 species